rnacentral:rRNA from 1 species
GGGUCAGUAGGUUGGUCGUGCCACCGGUACGUACUGGUCUCACUGAUUCCUCCUUCCUGAAGAACCGUAAUGCCAUUAAUUUGGUGUUGCUGGGAAACAGGACUGUUACUUUGAAAAAAUUAGAGUGUUUAAAGCAAGCUAACGCUAGAAUACAUUAGCAUGGAAUAAUGAAAUAGGACGAUCGAUCCUAUUUUGUUGGUUUCUAGGAUUGACGUA